rnacentral:rRNA from 1 species
CGAAGCGAAGCAGUGAUGUGAAGCAAAUCGCACCAAAGCCGGUCCCAGUUCGGAUAAGAGGCUGAAACUCGCCUCUUUGAAGUCGGAAUCGCUAGUAAUCGCAGAUCAGCAUGUUGCGGUGAAUACGUUCCCGGGUCUUGUACACACCGCCCGUCAAACCAUGAGAGUCACCAACACCCGAAGUCCGCUUUGGCGGCCUAAGGUGGGGGAGAUGAUUGGGGUUAAGUCGUAACAAGGUACC